CACCAGACUCCUACGGGAGGCAGCAGUGAGGAAUAUUGGUCAAUGGGCGCGAGCCUGAACCAGCCAAGUCGCGUGAGGGAAGACGGUCCUAUGGAUUGUAAACCUCUUUUGUCGGGGAGCAAAAGACGCCACGUGUGGCGUUCCGAGAGUACCCGAAGAAAAAGCAUCGGCUAACUCCGUGCCAGCAGCCGCGGUAAUACGUAGGGGGCAAGCGUUAUCCGGAUUUACUGGGUGUAAAGGGAGCGUAGACGGUUAUGCAAGUCUGGAGUGAAAGGCGGGGGCUCAACCCCCGGACUGCUCUGGAAACUGUAGAACUAGAGUGCAGGAGGGGUAAGUGGAAUUCCUAGUGUAGCGGUGAAAUGCGUAGAUAUUAGGAGGAACAUCGGUGGCGAAGGCGGCUUACUGGGCUUUUACUGACGCUGAGGCUCGAAAGCGUGGGGAGCAAACAGGAUUAGAUACCCUGGUAC
rnacentral:rRNA from 1 species